AUGGGGCGAGGCAGGGCACCGUGCUGCGCCAAGGUCGGGCUCAACAGGGGCUCCUGGACGCCGCAGGAGGACAUGCGCCUCAUCGCCUACAUCCAGAAGCACGGCCACGCCAACUGGCGCGCCCUCCCGAGGCAGGCCGGCCUGCUCCGCUGCGGGAAGAGCUGCCGGCUCCGGUGGAUCAACUACCUGCGCCCCGACCUCAGGCGCGGCAACUUCACCGCCGAGGAGGAGGCCACCGUCAUCAAGCUGCACGCCUUGCUCGGCAACAAGUGGUCCAAGAUCGCGGCGUGCCUGCCCGGGAGGACGGACAACGAGAUCAAGAACGUCUGGAACACGCACCUGAAGAAGAAGGCGUCGGAGCAGAAGCCAGGCGUCGGCGGGAGCAAGGGCGAGCCGGCCGACGGAGACCCCGACACGCCCGUCCCCUCGUUGUCUUCGGCGUCCUCGACGUGCGCCGGGGGCGGCGGCGGGGUGGAGGAGCUGCUCGAGCUGCCGGACAUCGACAUGGACGCCGACAUCUGGAGCAUCAUCGAUGACGAUGUCGCGCGCCUACAACAAGGCGAUGCAACAGUGCCAUGUACGACCAAGGCCAGCCCGGAGGAGGAGGGAAACGAGUGGUGGUUGGCGGAUUUGGAGAAGGAACUCGGCCUGUGGGGGCCCACGGAGGAAUCCCAGCCCCAGGCGGGCCCACACGACCAGAUAGGCUACCCGGGCCAGGACAUGGAAAUGGUGAUGUCCUCCUCCUACCCGCAGUCCAGAUCGGAUCAUGAGGCGUCCAAUUCUGAAUAG
rnacentral:rRNA from 1 species